AGAGUUUGAUCAUGGCUCAGAACAAACGCUGGCGGCGUGCCUAAUACAUGCAAGUCGAACGAGGUAGCAAUACCAAGUGGCGCACGGGUGAGUAACACGUGGAUAAUCUGCCUUCUAGUGGGGAACAACUACCCGAAAGGGUAGCUAAUACCGCAUAAGACCACAAGCUCUGCGGAGCAAGGGGUUAAAGCCGUAAGGCGCUAGAAGAUGAGUCCGCGUAAGAUUAGCUAGUUGGUGGGGUAAAAGCCUACCAAGGCGACGAUCUUUAGCUGGUCUGAGAGGAUGAUCAGCCACACUGGAACUGAGACACGGUCCAGACUCCUACGGGAGGCAGCAGUAGGGAAUAUUGCGCAAUGGGCGAAAGCCUGACGCAGCGACGCCGCGUGAGUGAUGAAGGCCUUAGGGUCGUAAAGCUCUGUUGUGAGGGAAAAUGAUGAUGGUACCUCAUAAGAAAGGACCGGCUAACUUCGUGCCAGCAGCCGCGGUAAGACGAGGGGUCCUAGCGUUGUUCGGAAUCAUUGGGCGUAAAGCGUAUGUAGGCGGCCUGUCAAGUCAGCUGUGAAAUCCCUGGGCUCAACCCAGGACGUGCAGUUGAUACUGAUGGGCUUGAAUAUGGGAGAGGAUAGUGGAAUUCCUGGUGUAGUGGUGAAAUACGUAGAUAUCAGGAGGAACACCGGUGGCGAAGGCGGCUAUCUGGCCC
rnacentral:rRNA from 1 species